rnacentral:rRNA from 1 species
UACGGAGGAUGCGAGCGUUAUCCGGAUUUAUUGGGUUUAAAGGGUGCGUAGGUGGUUUGGCAAGUUGGUAGCGUAAUCCCGGGGCUCAACCUCGGUGCUACUACCAAAACUGUUGAACUUGAGUGCAGGAGGGGUGAAUGGAAUUCCCAGUGUAGCGGUGGAAUGCGUAGAUAUUGGGAAGAACACCAGCGGCGAAGGCGAUUCACUGGACUGUAACUGACACUGAGGCACGAAAGCGUGGGGAGCAAACAGG